UUGAAAAAAAAUACUUUUCAAAAUAAGCUGAUUUUUGCAGCUUGACCAAACGGGCUAUUAGUCCAUACUGAUGAAAUAUGGAAUUGCUUUCCAAUUUCUCCUUUGUUCUUCCAGUUUUGACUUGGUCUGUGCUACAUUUCUGAGUUCUGUUGAAUUUUUCUUCACUGUCGCUUGCUUUGCCUGUUGUAUCCAUUUGUUAUUUGUUGCACCUCUUUGUUGGUAAUGGGUAUUUUGUGGAUAUCUCUUAUUUAUUGUUCUUUUGGAAUAUUUUUUCCACUGUGUACAUCUGCUUUUGACAUGCAUGUUUGGUUUCUUCAUGUAUAGGUUUAAACACGAUUUGGGCACAUUGAAUUAACAUCUGGAGCGAAAAUGACAUAAAAACAGACAAGAGCAUUGUUGCAGCCAAGGACCUCAAUCUAUUAUAUUAUAACUGCAGAUAGCAGAAAAAAGCAAGCACCUUAUGCUGGAGCUUUCUUUGGAAGAUGAACAACGCUAAUCGUAAUGUUUUGUCUGCUCAGAUACAAAGAAGACGUGUAUGAGCUCAAAGGAAAAACUUUAGUUAACGUUCUUCACGAAAUUGUGCGUGUUUGUUCAGAUUUGUUAUUACUGCUUUUCUUAUUAUGUUUCUUUACGCAACCCCAAGGAAUUGUUGGGGUUACUUUGGUGAGUAAUGAGAUUGCUCUAUUUUAAGAAAUUUUUAGGUUUGAGGAAUUUAUUAUUGAUGAACUACAAUUAAAGAAAAAUCGGAUGAGUGGGGUAAGACCAAAUGUGUAAGAAAUGAAAUGGAUUUUGAGUUGCACCACGCGUAAUUUAAAGUGUAAUAUGACUAGGUUGAUAUUUUGGGAAGUGUAACUCUUUAAAAUUAUAGUAAUGUGUAACUUAGUUGCAAGUAUUUUAUUUAAAGAUUUCGGAGGUUAAUUUGAUAA